rfam:Brachypodium distachyon strain Bd21 chromosome 1, whole genome shotgun sequence.
CAUAUACUCCCUCCGUCCAACAAAAGAUGUCUCAAGUUUGUCAAAAUUUGGAUAUAUCUAAGGAUGACUUAGUAUAUAGAUGCAUUCAGAUUUAGUAAAAGUUGAGCAUCCUUUGUUGGAUGGAAAGAGUACUUA